rnacentral:rRNA from 1 species
UGAGUACAAGAUGCUACGGCAUUGAAGCAGUCUAUGUCAUACUUCCAAAAAAGCUUGCAAUGUCAUAAACAAAUAAUGCCUGUACCAUAACCGACACAGGUGGGUAGGUAGAGUAUACUAAGGGGCGCGAGAUAACUCUCUCUAAGGAACUCGGCAAAAUGACUCCGUAACUUCGGGAGAAGGAGUACCUUAUUUUAUAAGGUUGCAAUAACAAGGUCCAAGCAACUGUUUACCAAAAACACAGGUCUCCGCUAAGUCGUAAGACGAUGUAUGGGGGCUGACGCCUGCCCAGUGCCAGAAGGUUAAAGAAGUUGGUUAGCAUUAGCGAAGCUGAUAACUGAAGCCCUGGUGAACGGCGGCCGUAACGAUAACGGUCCUAAGGUAGCGAAAUUCCUUGUCGGGUAAGUUCCGACCCGCACGAAAGGCGUAAUGAUUUGGAUACUGUCUCGGAGAGGGGCUCGGUGAAAUAGACUUGUCUGUGAAGAUGCGGACUACCUGCACCUGGACAGAAAGACCCUAUGAAGCUUUACUGUAACUUGAGAUUGAAAUUGGACUUUAUUUGCGCAGUAUAGGUGGGAGACCUCGAAAGUAUUCUUGCGGGAAUAUUGGAGUCAUCAGUGAGAUACCACUCUUAUAAUGUUAGAUUUCUAACUUUGUAUCAUUAUCUGGUCAAAGAACAGUUUCAGGCGGGCAGUUUGACUGGGGCGGUCGCCUCCCAAAUGGUAACGGAGGCGCACAAAGGUUUCCUCUGAACGUGUAGAAAUCGUAUCUAGAGUGUAAAGGCAUAAGGAAGCUUGACUGUGAGACCUACAAGUCGAGCAGGGACGAAAGUCGGUCUUAGUGAUCUGACGGUGCUGAGUGGAAAGGCCGUCACUCAACGGAUAAAAGUUACUCUAAGGAUAACAGGCUGAUCUCCCCCAAGAGUUCACAUCGACGGGGAGGUUUGGCACCUCGAUGUCGGCUCAUCGCAUCCUGGGGCGGUAGUACGUCCCAAGGGUUGGGCUGUUCGCCCAUGAAAGCGGUACGCGAGCUGGGUUCAGAACGUCGUGAGACAGUUCGGUCCAUAUCCGGUGUAGGCGUUAGAAUAUUGAGAGGGGCCUUCUUUAGUACGAGAGGACCGAGAAGGACAUACCUCUGGUGUACCAGUUAUCGUGCCAACGGUAAACGCUGGGUAGCUAUGUAUGGAGAGGAUAACCGCUGAAAGCAUCUAAGUGGGAAGCCCACCUCAAGAUAAGUAUUCUC